rnacentral:tRNA from 1 species
CACGGGGUGUAGCAGUAGGUUAGCUUACUACCUUGGUUCGGUAGAGGUCGCAAGUUCGAUUCUUGCCCCCGUAU